UCAUUACCAUUAAGAAUUAGUGUCAGGAAGGUCCUUGAACUAAUAAGUUUUUUCCGUCCGGUGACAUUGCGCAAGGCUGCGCGUGACCACCAUGCAUUAUGCGCGGGAGCAGGACAUUUCGGCGAUAUACUCGUACUAUGGCUGUAUAGUAGGCACGUUUCGUACUUGACCAAUUGAUAUAUAAGACGUCCCUAUUGACUGAUAAAUCAUUGUGCAUCGGAUCUUGUGUCCUAUCGUGUCUUAUAUCUUACAACAAACCGACUAAUCUACGCCAAGAUGUUCAAAUUCGUGCUGUUCGCCGCUCUCCUGGCUUUCGCCUCAGCCAAGCCUCUGGUCCUGGAAUACGACUACCCAGUCGCCUACAGCGCCCCAGUGGCCGCCUACUCGGCCCCCGUCGCCUAUUCCUCCUACAGCGCCUAUGACUACGCUCUUCCCUACUCCGCCUACGCCUAUUCCCCAUACUCUUACUACGUGCGCUAAUAUGGCAACUUACCGACGGAUUACGGCUAUGCAAUGGGAUAUCAGUUUUAUGUACGCAUCUAAUUUAUUAUUGCAGAAUUCAUUGGAAUAAAUAUUCGAUACGA